ACACGUUCCGCAACCCUCAUAGUCGCGACGCUCCAGAACAUCACCGCGUACCCACAGACAGACAAGUGUGGGGACUCUUCCUUGUUUGUAUAUGGCUGCAUCUAGGGUGGUUUCUCAAGACUUGUGCUUGUCUCUCUCUCUUUGCGUGUGCUGUGCAUCUCAGCUCUCACAGGAGCAAGGAUUACACGCGCGUGCCUCCGUCGCUUCACCUGUGGCAACUUUUUUUUUGCAGUCUAUUUUUGUUUUGCCACUGCAGAGGGGUGAACAGGGUUGAUCUUGCGAACGGCUCUCGGUCGAAUAUGUCUUGCAUCCUCCACUGGCGUCUUGCGCCACUUGUCGCCUUGUUCCUCGUUUAGCGGGUCUUUUUUCUUGUGUGCGCCUCUCCCUGGCUCUAGCGCAGCCAGCAGGAAUAUAUAUAUAUAUCGCUUGUGAGUGCUGUUGUAGCGGCACGCUUGCCACGUAUCUCUUUGGCUUCUCUGCAGCUGUCUUUGCUCGCGUGUGCUGGCUAUUUUUUCGUUUUUGUUUCCUCUGUGUAUUCGACUCUGUGCUGCCCCUACUGUUUCUCGUGGAAACACCCUUGCGCCCUUGUUUGUGUUUUCUCCCUUCUGUUCUGUCCUCACAACUUUUUUAGGACCCCACACAAGUCGAACAUGAAUGUACCAUCUUCGCCGGCGUCUCACGAGGGUCCCGCGGCUGAUGGGUCUUCACCUCCAGUUUUCCCAGCCGCACCGUCCUCAGCGCACAGGAAGCGCUCCUCUCACCCACAUCCGCAGAACUCUCAACAGAGCAGGAGGGGGAAGACUGCGAUCCCCGCCCCUUCGACAGAGCACCGUAGAGCUUCUGCGAUCGCUGAUGGCGGCUCCCCAUCUGGAGGGAAGAAGGACGACGGCAGAGCGACAUCAAAGAAGGUGGAGACGGUCAAACUCGCAAAUGAGCACGCCCGGCUAUCCGAGAGGGAGGCGAAAAUGGUGAUUGCUCGCGGCCAAGACGGCUUUGCUUAUCGUCGCAGUGUUCAGGCAUUUUUCGUGAAUGAGAGCACUCAAUUUCUUCUUUGCCAGCCUGCCAGGACGAGCAAGGUGAACUUCCGCCAAACGGUGCAAGGCGGCAGUGAGGGCGACGAGUCGCCGCAGGAAACGGCGCAGCGUGAGACGUGGGAAGAGCUCGGACUCGAUCUUGAGAAGGCCGCCACAUUUUUGUGCGAGGCACACCCGUCUGCCGCCGUGUCGGGAGAGCACGGCGAAGAGGAAGUCUUUAGAAUCAAAAGGAACGAAAUCGUGUCUGAACGCCGCAAGGAAUUUCGCUACAAGCGCAAGGCGUGGCAGAAACUGGGCAUCAACGGCCAAGAGCUGUACCCCCUUCUCUACCUACUGAAAAGCGAGAAGUCACGACACGUGGGCACUCUUGGAUCGAAGCGCGGCGUUCGGACAGAGUUUUGAUCGGCCGCAUGGGGAUCGUUGGCAAACUUGGUACAGAAGGCGCCUCCUAGGAAGAGGGCAGGGAUGGGUUCUGUGUGCCAUGCUGUGGCUGCUGCUGCCGUGCCGCUUCUGGAGUCGCGUGGCUACCCCAUCACUGGUUCCACGAACCUGAUCAGCCAUGCGCAAACAGCAGUUUAGCGGGCACUUCCUUUUUUUUUAGGUAGGGGAGGGGCAGGGGGUAUCGAGAAGAUGCGGCCGCAUUAUGUGAUGUUUUGCAUGUACUUGCUGGGUUUCGACCCCCACAAGGGCACCCUUCAGAGCUCUCUCUCUCCCCGUCGUUUGGGCAAAGUCCUGGAGUGCACAGCGGUGCGAUAUGUGUGUCUCUCUCGUUUGUCGUCUCCUUGCGUUUUAUCAUAUUUAUUCUUUUUUUCGUGCGCGCAUUCGGAUACUUACACGCUGCCCUUCUCCUGCCUUCUACCGCGAUUCCCUCCCUCCUCUGCUGUGUGGG
rnacentral:misc_RNA from 1 species